GGAUACAUUCCGGAAAGCGGGGGAUAGCCCAGGGAAACUUGGAUUAAUACCGCAUGUGGUCGAGAGACUAAAGGCGGGGAUCGAAAGACCUGUCACUUUCCGAUUGGUCCGCGGCCUAUCAGCUAGUUGGCGGGGUAAAAGCCCACCAAGGCUACGACGGGUAGCUGGUCUUAGAGGACGACCAGCCACACUGGAACUGAGACACGGUCCAGACACCUACGGGUGGCAGCAGUCGAGAAUCUUUCACAAUGGGGGCAACCCUGAUGGAGCGACGCCGCGUGGAGGAUAAGGUCUUCGGAUUGUAAACUCCUGUCAUGCGUGAACAAGGUUGCUUGGUUAAUACCUGGGCAAAUUGAUGGUAACGCAAGAGGAAGAGACGGCUAACUCUGUGCCAGCAGCCGCGGUAAUACAGAGGUCUCAAGCGUUGUUCGGAAUCACUGGGCGUAAAGGGUGCGUAGGUGGCGUGGUAAGUCAGAUGUGAAAGCCCGGGGCUCAACCUCGGAACUGCAUCCGAUACUGCCAUGCUAGAGUACUGGAGAGGUGACUAGAAUUCUCGGU
rnacentral:rRNA from 1 species